ACGCUGGCGGCGUGGAUUAGGCAUGCAAGUCGAGCGAUGCUUGACUUUUUUUGUCAAGUAGAGCGGCAAACGGGUGAGUAACGCGUAGAUAAUCUGCCUUCAAACUGGGAACAACUUGCCGAAAGGCGGGCUAAUACCGAAUGAGACUACAUCUUCGCAUGGAGAAGUAGUUAAAGGCGGGGACCUCGCCAUUUUGGUUUACUAAAAUGGCUGGGCCUGUUGUUUGAAGAGGAAUCUGCGACCUAUCAGCUAGUUGGUGAGGUAACGGCUCACCAAGGCAUUUGACGGGUAGCUGGUCUGAGAGGAUGGUCAACCACACUGGGACUGAGACACUGCCCAGACUCCUACGGGAGGCUGCAGUCGAGAAUCUUUUGCAAUGGGCGAAAGCCUGACAAUGCGACGCCGCGUGAGCGAUGAAGGUCUUCGGAUUGUAAAGCUCUGUUGCAGGGGAUGAAAUUACUUGAUACUAAUAGCGUCAAGUAUUGACAGUACCCUGAGAGGAAGCCACGGCUAACUCCGUGCCAGCAGCCGCGGUAAUACGGAGGUGGCAAGCGUUGUUCGGAUUGAUUGGGUGUAAAGGGCAUGUAGGCGCCCCGAUAAGUUUUCGGUGAAAUCCUUGAGCUUAACUCAAGAACUGCCGAGAAAACUAUCGGGGUUGAGUACGGAAGGGGAGAAUGGAAUUCCCGGUGUAAGGGUGAAAUCUGUAGAUAUCGGGAGGAACACCAGUGGCGAAGGCGAUUCUCUGGUCCGAUACUGACGCUGAAAUGCGAAAGCUAGGGGAGCAAACAGGAUUAGAUACCCUGUGUAGUCCUAGCCGUAAACGAUGGGCACUGGGUGUAGGCUUGAAAGAGUCUGUGCCGCAGUUAACGCAUA
rnacentral:rRNA from 1 species